rnacentral:lncRNA from 1 species
AGAGGAAACUCAUCAGCGGGGCCACGUGCUGAGUGCCCGUCACUCCCCAGCUCCUGGGAAGGUCUGAGACUGGGGUCUCCUGAGGCCCUAACCAGGCCCUCCCCAAGCUGGGAGGGGAGUUCCCAGAGAGCAGAGCUCCAUGCGUGGACAGUAUUGUGGGCUCACCUCUACAUUUAUUAUUACCAGCUCUUAACUUCU